rnacentral:pre_miRNA from 1 species
GGGAGGGCAAGAUCCUGGGCUGUGUCCCCCAGUGCCCUGGGCUCCCGGGCCUGCACCGCUAGAAUCGAGCUCCCGGGCCAUGCAGCCUCCU